GAUGAAGAACGCAGCAAAAUGCGAUACUUGGUGUGAAUUGCAGAAUCCCGUGAACCAUCGAGUUUUUGAACGCAAGUUGCGCCCGAAGCCUUUUGGCCGAGGGCACGUCUGCCUGGGCGUCACGCAUCGCGUCGCCCCCCACAAUUCUCCGUAAAGGGAACGUGUGUUUUGGGGGCGGAUAUUGGUCUCCCGUGCUCAUGGCGUGGUUGGCCUAAAUAGGAGUCCUUUCGAUGGACGCACGAACUAGUGGUGGUCGUAAAAACCCUCGUCUUUUGUUUCGUGCUGUUGCUCGCAAGGUAAACUCUUUAAAAACCCCAAUGUGUCGUCUCUUGACGACGCUUCGACCGCGACCCCAGGUCAGGCGGGACUACCCGCUGAGUUUAAGCAUAUCAAUAAGCGGAGGA
rnacentral:misc_RNA from 1 species